rnacentral:rRNA from 1 species
UGGCCCGACCCGGCCAUAGCGGCCGGGCAACACCCGGACUCAUGUCGAACCCGGAAGUUAAGCCGGCCGCGUUGGGGGAUGCUGUGGGGUCCGCGAGGCCCCGCAGCGCCCCCAAGCCGGGAUCGGGCCG